AAAGUGACAAAUGUAGGCUGUAGGCCAGGCGUGGUGGCUUACGCCUGUAAUCCCAGCACUCUGGGAGGCCGAGGCGGGUGGAUCGCCAGGUCAGGAGUCCGAGACCAGCCUGACCAACAUGGAGAAACCCCCGUCUCUCUCUCUUUUUUUUUUUUUUUUUUUGAGAUGGAGUCUGGCUCUGUCACCCAGGCUGGAGUGCAGCAAGAUCAUCUCGGGUUAGACCUUAAGUAGGACUUCCCAAGCAGCGGCUGCGCCUACGAAGUGCAGCGCGAGAUCAGGGAGCGGUGAACCUGAUAAGGAAACGCCCGAAGCGUGGGGUCGGAAAUUUCCAGAUGCCCCGACU
ensembl:lncRNA novel transcript, antisense to SPHK2